GUGCUUGCUUUGGCAGCACAUAUACUAAAAUUGGAACAAUACAGAGAAGAUGAUCAUGGCCACUAAGGCAAGGAUGAGAUGAAAAUUUGUGAAGUGUUCCAUAUUUUU